AUUGAACGCUGGCGGCAGGCCUAACACAUGCAAGUCGAGCGGAUGAAGGGAGCUUGCUCCUGGCUUCAGCGGCGGACGGGUGAGUAAUGCCUAGGAAUCUGCCUGGUAGUUGGGGAUAACGUCCGGAAACGGGCGCUAAUACCGCAUACGUCCUGAGGGAGAAAGUGGGGGAUCUUCGGACCUCACGCUAUCAGAUGAGCCUAGGUCGGAUUAGCUAGUUGGUGGGGUAAAGGCCUACCAAGGCGACGAUCCGUAACUGGUCUGAGAGGAUGAUCAGUCACACUGGAACUGAGACACGGUCCAGACUCCUACGGGAGGCAGCAGUGGGGAAUAUUGGACAAUGGGCGAAAGCCUGAUCCAGCCAUGCCGCGUGUGUGAAGAAGGUCUUCGGAUUGUAAAGCACUUUAAGUUGGGAGGAAGGGCAGUAAGUUAAUACCUUGCUGUUUUGACGUUACCAACAGAAUAAGCACCGGCUAACUUCGUG
rnacentral:rRNA from 1 species